GACGAACCGUGCGAACGUUAUUCGGAAUCACUGGGCUUAAAGCGCGUGUAGGCGGGGCGGGGCGUCGGGCGCUGAAAUCCCCCGGCUCAACCGGGGAAGGGGCGCCGAGACGACCGCCCUGGAGCGACGUAGGGGGGACUGGAACUUCCGGUGGAGCGGUGAAAUGCGUUGAGAUCGGAAGGAACGCCCGUGGCGAAAGCGAGUCCCUGGACGUCGGCUGACGCUGAGACGCGAAAGCCAGGGGAGCGAACGGG
rnacentral:rRNA from 1 species